AUUGAACGCUGGCGGCAGGCCUAACACAUGCAAGUCGAACGAGUGGCGGACGGGUGAGUAAUGUCUGGGCAACUGCCUGAAGGAGGGGGAUAACUACUGGAAACGGUAGCUAAUACCGCAUAACAUCUGAUGUGCUCAGAUGGGAUUAGCUAGUUGGUGGGGUAACGGCUCACCUCGGCGACGAUCCCUAGCUGGUCUGAGAGGAUGACCAGCCACACUUGAGCUGAGACACGGUCCAGACUCCUACGGGAGGCAGCAUUGGGGAAUAUUGCACAAGGGGCGCAAGCCUGAUACAGCCAUGCCGCGUGUAUGAAGAAGGCCUUCGGGUUGUAAAGUACUUUCAGCGGGGAGGCGGUACCCGAAGAAGAAGCACCGGCUAACUCCGUGCCAGCAGCCGCGGUAAUAC
rnacentral:rRNA from 1 species